CAUCUUUUCUUGUAAAUUGUAUGAAAUCUAACCUGCCCUAUGAUUUAUUAAAUGGCCGCGGUAUUUUAACCGUGCGAAGGUAGCAUAAUCAUUAGUCCAUUAAUUGUGGACUUGUAUGAAUGGUUGGACGAAAUAUAUUCUGUCUCAUUUUGUUGUUUAUAAUUUGAUUUUUGAGUUAGAAAGCUUAAAUUUUUUUAAGGGACGAGAAGACCCUAUAGAUCUUUAUUAUUUGUUUGUUAAUUAUGUUUUUGGUUUAUUAUUCAUUUUGAUUAAUUUAUUUAUUUUGUUGGGGUGAUGUGGGGAUAUAAUUUAAACUCUUCAUUUUUGUUUUCAUUGAUUUAUGUUUAUUUGACCUUUUAAUAUUGUUUAAAGAACUAGAUACCUUAGGGAUAACAGCGUUAUUUUUCUUGAGAGUUCAUAUCGACAGAUAAGAUUGCGACCUCGAUGUUGGAUUAAGAUUGAUUAUUAGGUGUAGUUGCUUAAUUAUUAAGGUCUGUUCGACCUUUAAAUUCUUACAUGAUCUGAGUUCAAACCGGAG
rnacentral:rRNA from 1 species